UCAUGGUCAAUUUUUUACAAAAUAUUUUUAUUUUUAACAUUUCAUUACAUAUAUUUUUUUAAGAUUUUCAAAAAGAUGUGUUGUCCUGGAUGGCAAAGAUAGAUAAGAAAAUACUACUGUUUUUUAUUUAACAUCAAGUAUUACAUAGGGCUCCCACAAAUCUUCAAAGUUUUGAAUAGAAUCAGAAACUUGACUUAACUCAGCGACUUAAAAAAAAUCAUGUGUUUAAAUCAAGAGAAUUUCAUACAUAAAGAGUAAACAAAAUCAGGGUGGCCAGCAAGCUGGAAGCCUGGAAAAAAAGUUAGAAAAAAGUUAGUUAAGGACAAAUUUAUGCGAGUUUUAUUGCUGCUUUUUUUGUUAAUUCACACGUUAAACUUUUGGAUUAUAAUACAUGUAUAACUUUGAGUUUUUUAUAGCCACAAAAAGUCUAGGAAAAUGAACAUGAAAAUUUUCUGACCACCCUGAUUCUGUCAAAUAUCAGCGUAAGAUAUAAUAUUUUUUUAUGACAAUGAUUGAUUACUAUACUGGACUAAUUUAGAAAAAUAAUGGAGAGGAAGCCGUAAAUAGAACUUUAAGACUCUAAUCUAAUACGGUGACAUAUUUAAAAAAACAAAAUUAGUUUAAAAAAUAAUUGUUUUUUAAGGAUUUAAGACUGGAUUGAAUUUGCAGUCAUAUAGUAUAAUUUGAUAUUCUAUUCAAUGUUUAAUUUUUGGAUUUAGAUGUGCUUUUGUUGUAAAUGGUAAAAAAACAAGUUUUUCUUACAUUUGUAGGUGGAUAAGUUAUUAAUACAGCAAUCUACAUCAACAGCAAGCGCUAGUAUAUCAUCUACAGAGUCCAUUUUUGAAAGAUGCUUAACAAAAUCUGAUGUGAAUUUACUUGAAGAAAAAGUCAAGGCUAGCAAUGUUUUCAAGGGUAGAGUGAUGAAUUCCCUUAGCCGUUGUGGAGGUAAUACUCCAUAUAAAUCGGCUUUUGUUAUUGGAAGGCUGUAAUGAGCGAGGACGCUGCAGCCUGUUUCAAUGUCUCUGGCGGUUCUUUGAAAAUAAAUUUUAAAACAUACACCUUGUAUCAUAUGAUAAUAGAUGCGAUUACACGACAGCAUCAUGAUGCAAAAAUUAGCGAAUGUCAUUCAGCCAUUUCAGAAUUUCUAAGUCAAUCCGGUACACGGCUCAACCGAAAAGUUUUGAAAAUGAGCAACGCUGCAAAUACUGAAUAAAUUGUUUAAAUGUGUAAAUGUAAAUUUGUUUGUUAAAGUCAAUAAAAAACUUUCCUACUAAA